CUACGGGGUGCAGCAGUGAGGAAUUUUGCGCAAUGGGGGAAACCCUGACGCAGCAACGCCGCGUGAGCGAAGAAGGCCUUCGGGUCGUAAAGCUCUGUCAAGUGGGAAAAAAAUCUUUUGAUCAAUAGUCAAAAGACUUGAUGGUACCACUGGAGGAAGCACCGGCUAACUCCGUGCCAGCAGCCGCGGUAAUACGGAGGGUGCAAGCGUUGUUCGGAUUUACUGGGCGUAAAGAGCGUGUAGGCGGUUUAGCAAGUCAGAUGUGAAAGCUCUGGGCUCAACCCGGGAAGUGCAUUUGAAACUGCUUCACUAGAGUAUGGGAGAGGAGAUUGGAAUUCCUGGUGUAGAGGUGAAAUUCGUAGAUAUCAGGAGGAACACCCGUGGCGAAGGCGAUUCUCUGGACCAAUACUGACGCUGAGACGCGAAAGCGUGGGGAGCAAACAGGAUUAGAUACCCGGGUAGUC
rnacentral:rRNA from 1 species